CACACAAUCUGCAGAUAUAAUGCAAUGUCAGUCAAAACAGCACUGUCCAAGGUCUUAUUGCAUUGGCCAGGACUCCAGGAGACUUGAAGAACGGCCGUGGUUGCAGAUCUAGUGUCCAGCUUAGGACUUUUGUCUUUUGGGACUCACGGCUUCCCCUUUACUCCCUACAUGUAAUUCUGCACCUAGCCCUUCAGGGACAGAGCUGAGCACUGCUGCAGGUCCAGCCGAAUAUAAGACUCUUUCCCUGCCCAGGAUGAUUGUUCCAGAGUGGGGAAGAAAUCUGCAUAUGGCCCACCAAGUUUCCUUGCUGUUUUUUGUCUGUUUACUUGUUUGGAGCUAGAAGAGGGGGAGAGUCUUAUUAGCUGGCUUGGGCA
rnacentral:lncRNA from 12 species